rnacentral:tRNA from 1 species
UCUAAUAUGGCAGACUAGUGCAGUAGAUUUAAGCUCUACAAAUAAAGGUUUUCCUUUUAUUAGAA